rnacentral:snRNA from 1 species
GGAUGUGACGGUGAUCUGAAUGUGACACCUGUCACCCCAUGGAUCACGGGGCUGAUGCAGCUGAUCUGGAUGGCUAGGCGGGUGUCCCCUUCCUCUCUCUCCCCUCCACGUGUCUGCCUCUCAAAGCUACAUGCCAGGCUGAAGAGGAUGACCUUCCCUGAAGAGAAGAGGACCAGCCUUUGGUCAAGGGUCUAUGAGAAGUUACACUCCAUGGUUACAGCCUCCAAACACGCUCUCAAGAAAGAGCAGUGUCAAUCAAUUAAGUAUUGAUUGGAAGUUUGGCCGAUCUAUAUAU